rnacentral:rRNA from 1 species
AGGACACUCUAUACGGAGUUACAAAGGACGACAUUAGACGAAUCAUCUGGAAAGAUGAAUCAAAGAAGGUAAUAAUCCUGUAGUCGAAAAUGUUGUCUCUCUUGAGUGGAUCCUGAGUACGACGGAGCACGUGAAAUUCCGUCGGAAUCUGGGAGGACCAUCUCCUAAGGCUAAAUACUCUCUAGUGACCGAUAGUGAACCAGUACCGUGAGGGAAAGGUGAAAAGCACCCCGGAAGGGGAGUGAAAUAGAACCUGAAACCGUGUGCUUACAAGUAGUCAGAGCCCGUUAAUGGGUGAUGGCGUGCCUUUUGUAGAAUGAACCGGCGAGUUACGAUUUGAUGCAAGGUUAAGCAGUAAAUGUGGAGCCGUAGCGAAAGCGAGUCUGAAUAGGGCGUUUAGUAUUUGGUCGUAGACCCGAAACCAGGUGAUCUACCCUUGGUCAGGUUGAAGUUCAGGUAACACUGAAUGGAGGACCGAACCGACUUACGUUGAAAAGUGAGCGGAUGAACUGAGGGUAGCGGAGAAAUUCCAAUCGAACCUGGAGAUAGCUGGUUCUCUCCGAAAUAGCUUUAGGGCUAGCCUCAAGUGAUGAUUAUUGGAGGUAGAGCACUGUUUGGACGAGGGGCCCCUCUCGGGUUACCGAAUUCAGACAAACUCCGAAUGCCAAUUAAUUUAACUUGGGAGUCAGAACAUGGGUGAUAAGGUCCGUGUUCGAAAGGGAAACAGCCCAGACCACCAGCUAAGGUCCCAAAAUAUAUGUUAAGUGGAAAAGGAUGUGGCGUUGCCCAGACAACUAGGAUGUUGGCUUAGAAGCAGCCAUCAUUUAAAGAGUGCGUAAUAGCUCACUAGUCGAGUGACACUGCGCCGAAAAUGUACCGGGGCUAAACAUAUUACCGAAGCUGUGGAUUGUCCUUUGGACAAUGGUAGGAGAGCGUUCUAAGGGCGUUGAAGCAUGAUCGUAAGGACAUGUGGAGCGCUUAGAAGUGAGAAUGCCGGUGUGAGUAGCGAAAGACGGGUGAGAAUCCCGUCCACCGAUUGACUAAGGUUUCCAGAGGAAGGCUCGUCCGCUCUGGGUUAGUCGGGUCCUAAGCUGAGGCCGACAGGCGUAGGCGAUGGAUAACAGGUUGAUAUUCCUGUACCACCUAUAAUCGUUUUAAUCGAUGGGGGGACGCAGUAGGAUAGGCGAAGCGUGCGAUUGGAUUGCACGUCUAAGCAGUAAGGCUGAGUAUUAGGCAAAUCCGGUACUCGUUAAGGCUGAGCUGUGAUGGGGAGAAGACAUUGUGUCUUCGAGUCGUUGAUUUCACACUGCCGAGAAAAGCCUCUAGAUAGAAAAUAGGUGCCCGUACCGCAAACCGACACAGGUAGUCAAGAUGAGAAUUCUAAGGUGAGCGAGCGAACUCUCGUUAAGGAACUCGGCAAAAUGACCCCGUAACUUCGGGAGAAGGGGUGCUCUUUAGGGUUAACGCCCAGAAGAGCCGCAGUGAAUAGGCCCAAGCGACUGUUUAUCAAAAACACAGGUCUCUGCUAAACCGUAAGGUGAUGUAUAGGGGCUGACGCCUGCCCGGUGCUGGAAGGUUAAGAGGAGUGGUUAGCUUCUGCGAAGCUACGAAUCGAAGCCCCAGUAAACGGCGGCCGUAACUAUAACGGUCCUAAGGUAGCGAAAUUCCUUGUCGGGUAAGUUCCGACCCGCACGAAAGGCGUAACGAUUUGGGCACUGUCUCAACGAGAGACUCGGUGAAAUCAUAGUACCUGUGAAGAUGCAGGUUACCCGCGACAGGACGGAAAGACCCCGUGGAGCUUUACUGUAGCCUGAUAUUGAAAUUCGGCACAGCUUGUACAGGAUAGGUAGGAGCCUUUGAAACGUGAGCGCUAGCUUACGUGGAGGCGCUGGUGGG